rnacentral:tRNA from 1 species
GCCUCGGUAGCUCGGUGGUUGGCGCGUCGAGCUAGCAACCCGAGGCUCGUGGGUUCGAAUCUCCGCCUUGGAUG